rnacentral:rRNA from 1 species
CCUACGGGUGGCAGCAGUGGGGAAUUUUGGACAAUGGGCGCAAGCCUGAUCCAGCUAUUCCGCGUGUGGGAAGACGGCCUUCGGGUUGUAAACCACUUUUGUAGAGAACGAAAAGUCUGUUGAUAAUACCGAUAGAUGAUGACGGUACUCUAAGAAUAAGCACCGGCUAACUACGUGCCAGCAGCCGCGGUAAUACGUAGGGUGCGAGCGUGAAUCGGAAUUACUGGGCGUAAAGGGUGUGCAGGCGGUUUUGCAAGAUUGAUGUGAAAGCCCCGGGCUUAACCUGGGAAGGCCAUACAUGACUGCAAGACUAGAGUGCGUCAGAGGGGGGUGGAAUUCCAAGUGUAGCAGUGAAAUGCGUAGAUAUUUGGAAGAACACCGAUGGCGAAGGCAGCCCCCUGGGACGCAACUGACGCUCAUACACGAAAGCGUGGGGAGCAAACAGGAUUAGAUACCCCAGUAGUC